GGUGAACCAAGAUGUUUCAGCAGAGGCUACAGCAGAGGUCGAAUAUGAAACUGAGUGCACUGCUGAAGGACAGGAUGAGCAACAAGAGGGGGAGCUAACGGUGUGUGAGAGCCCGGUGGUGAAACUGAUCAACUAUGAUGGAAACAUUACACAAAGAAAGCUGGGAUUGAGCAGUGUCCAGCUGAAUGGGACUGAGUUGGUUGUGUCUCCAACAACAGAUGAAUCCAAGAAAGCUUUUAGUGAUCUGAGCACAGUGGGAUUCCUGCAGCAGGAAAUACAGGAUUCAGAGCUGAGGGUCCAGAGUGCAGAGCAGCGAGCCCUGAAGGCUGAGGAAGCCCUGCAGGCAGCGCUGGAGAAGACUAAGCACCUGGAGAGAAAACUGCAGGGCCGGCCCAGUCUGGAGCCAACAAGUACAGAAGAGAAAAAGAAAACACCACCACCUACUCCAAUACCAGUAAAAACCCCAUCUCCUCCAAAGAAAACUGCAGUUGAAGCCAAACCAUCAAGCAGCUCCAAAAAGACCAAGAAACGGUGAUUUGAAUAAGAUCAGGACAUGUCACAACGUUAUAUGUAUGUCCAGUAAAUGUCUAGUGAACUAUUUAAAAAAUCACUUAAAGAGUUUUAUGUUUCUUUGUUUAUUACAAGAGUUAACACUCCAUCAAAAUCACAUCCAUGUAAACCAGUAAAGGAAAUCCACAGAGGGUAUUAUGACUUUUGGUGCAUAUUAACAGCACAUUUACUGUCUCACAAGUUUACAAAUUAUUGUAGCACAUACAAGAAAAGACAAAAAGCAUCACUCAUCAGCACCAGCAUCAAAGCUAUAUUUCAAGUAUCAGGAGAUUGUCCUAUAUUCAGACUGCUUGCUGUUGUAUGAUAAUUAAUAUCGUCAUAUUACCAUUUAUCUAAUGGUUUGCUGUGGUUGUGUUAAACCUUGUGUUAUGUCUUGGACACCAACUAAGGGCAAAAUAGGUUUUGUUUUCUUAAAAAUAAUAAAGUGUCUGUAGACAUACAUACAAUCUAAAAAAGUAAUACUUUUCUGUAGCUUUUAUUAUAAAUAUGUGGAAAUUGUGAAAUUAAUAAACAAAUCCAGUUCACACUAUGCUAUCACACCCUUCAGCACUCACGCUCACCGGUGAUUAUAAACUAAUAUUUUAAAAUUGUACUUAAACAAACAAUCAUUUGUUGUAAAGGUUACCUUCUUUAAAAUAAUGAAGAAUACCUCUGGAAACUCAUCCAUGAGGUAAGAAUUAUUGGCUCGCUUUUUUUAAUUUUUCAAAAAUAGCUUU